GUGUGUGUGUAUGAGAGAGAGAAAGAGAGAGAGAGAGAGAGAGAGAGAGAGAGGCGCAAGUUUUGAUAGUUUGGAACAGCGAGUUCUCAGAUAUUUAAAGACUUAAUCAUGGAAAACAAUCUUAAAAAAUGAAAUGGUGGAGUAUUUUUAUUUACCAUUCCCCCGUUCCUUUUUAUUUAUCUAAUUUUUUUAGAUAGUAGUGGAAUUUAUUCUUUUUUAUUUGUCAUUUGUAAAUUUUUAAUAAAAUAUUAAUAAUUUAAUUUUUUAUAUUGUUCCUACAUUAAAUAUUAAUUAGUUUGUCAUUAAUAUUAUAUUGCUUUUAAACUUUGCAGCUGGCUUCUACAUUGGAAUAAAUGACUGAAUUAUUGGCGUAGAUUCCUCAUAUGCACGACGACGGAGUAGGACCACAUUUUUAUGUGUAAACAAAUUAAUUCCAUUUAUUACUUGAACCAGCAGCAAAAAUAAAAUAAAGAUAAAUGUAAAUAUGCAAUGCUACUCUAUCGGUUCCAUAUUAAGUGUCUCCCACAUUUUAAGAAAAAUAAUUAUCCUCUAUUGUAAAGUGUAAAAUUAAAAUUAAAUUAUUAAAUUACCC
rnacentral:lncRNA from 1 species